rnacentral:rRNA from 1 species
CGUGCAGGCGGUCUUGUAAGUCGUGUGUGAAAGCGCUCAGGCUCAACCGGGCGAGGACAUGCGAAACUGCGGGGCUUGAGGUAGGUAGAGGCGUGUGGAAUUCCGGGUGUAGUGGUGAAAUGCGUAGAGAUCCGGAGGAACACCAGUGGCGAAGGCGACACGCUGGACCUGACCUGACGCUAAGCGCGAAAGCAUGGGGAGCGAACG